GACGAACGCUGGCGGCGUGCUUAACACAUGCAAGUCGAACGGAAAGGCCCUGCUUUUGUGGGGUGCUCGAGUGGCGAACGGGUGAGUAACACGUGAGUAAUCUGCCCUUGACUUUGGGAUAACUUCAGGAAACUGGGGCUAAUACCGGAUAGGAGCUCCUGCUGCAUGGUGGGGGUUGGAAAGUUUCGGCGGUUGGGGAUGGACUCGCGGCUUAUCAGCUUGUUGGUGGGGUAGUGGCUUACCAAGGCUUUGACGGGUAGCCGGCCUGAGAGGGUGACCGGCCACAUUGGGGCUGAGAUACGGCCCAGACUCCUACGGGAGGCAGCAGUGGGGAAUAUUGCACAAUGGGCGGAAGCCUGAUGCAGCAACGCCGCGUGCGGGAUGACGGCCUUCGGGUUGUAAACCGCUUUCGCCUGUGACGAAGCGUGAGUGACGGUAAUGGGUAAAGAAGCACCGGCUAACUACGUG
rnacentral:rRNA from 1 species